UACAGAGGGUGCGAGCGUUAAUCGGAAUUACUGGGCGUAAAGCGCGCGUAGGCGGCUUUGCAAGUCGGGUGUGAAAUCCCCAGGCUUAACCUGGGAACUGCAUUCGAGACUGCAUUGCUAGAGUAUGGGAGAGGGGAAGUGGAAUUUCCGGUGUAGCGGUGAAAUGCGUAGAGAUCGGGAGGAACAUCUGUGGCGAAGGCGACUGCCUGGACCAGCACUGACACUGAGGCACGAAAGCGUGGGGAGCAAACAGG
rnacentral:rRNA from 1 species